CCCGCACAAGCGGUGGAGCAUGUGGUUUAAUUCGAAGCAACGCGAAGAACCUUACCAGGUCUUGACAUCCCGAUGCUAUUUCUAGAGAUAGAAAGUUACUUCGGUACAUCGGUGACAGGUGGUGCAUGGUUGUCGUCAGCUCGUGUCGUGAGAUGUUGGGUUAAGUCCCGCAACGAGCGCAACCCUUAUCCCUAGUUGCCAUCAGGUAAAGCUGGGAACUCUGGGGAGACUGCCGGUGAUAAACCGGAGGAAGGCGGGGAUGACGUCAAGUCCUCAUGGCCCUUACAUCCCGGGCUACACACGUGCUACAAUGGCAGGUACAGAGGGCUGCGAAGCCGCGAGGUGGAGCGAAUCCCAGAAAACCUGUCUCAGUCCGGAUUGAAGUCUGCAACUCGACUUCAUGAAGGCGGAAUCGCUAGUAACCGCGAAUCAGCAGGUCGCGGUGAAUACGUUCCCGGGCCUU
rnacentral:rRNA from 1 species